GAUGAAGAACGUAGCGAAAUGCGAUAAGUAAUGUGAAUUGCAGAAUUCAGUGAAUCAUCGAAUCUUUGAACGCACAUUGCGCCCUCUGGUAUUCCGGGGGGCAUGCCUGUUUGAGCGUCAUUAUAACCACUCAAGCUCUCGCUUGGUAUUGGGGUUCGCGGUUCCGCGGCCCCUAAAAUCAGUGGCGGUGCCUGUCGGCUCUACGCGUAGUAAUACUCCUCGCGAUUGAGUCCGGUAGGUCUACUUGCCAGCAACCCCCAAUUUUUACAGGUUGACCUCGGAUCAGGUAGGGAUACCCGCUGAACUUAAGCAUAUCAAUAAGCGGAGGA
rnacentral:misc_RNA from 1 species